UUGAGGGUUGAUUAGGUUAAGAGCUAAUUAAUUGGACGUUACCCACAGAAGAAGCACCGGCUAACUCCGUGCCAGCAGCCGCGGUAAUACGGAGGGUGCGAGCGUUAAUCGGAAUUACUGGGCGUAAAGGGUGCGUAGGUGGUUUAUUAAGUUAUCUGUGAAAUCCCUGGGCUUAACCUGGGCAGGUCAGAUAAGACUGAUUGACUCGAGUAUGGGAGAGGGUAGUGGAAUUUCCGGUGUAGCGGUGAAAUGCGUAGAGAUCGGAAGGAACACCAGUGGCGAAGGCGGCUACCUGGCCUAAUACUGACACUGAGGCACGAAAGCGUGGGGAGCAAACAGGUUUAGAUACCCUGGUAGUCCACGCUGUAAACGAUGUCAACUAAGCUGUUGGAUA
rnacentral:rRNA from 1 species